rnacentral:rRNA from 1 species
ACGCACGCUGGCGGCGUGCUUAACACAUGCAAGUCGAACGGAAAGGCCCUGCUUUUGUGGGGUGCUCGAGUGGCGAACGGGUGAGUAACACGUGAGUAACCUGCCCUUGACGUUGGGAUAACUUCAGGAAACUGGGGCUAAUACCGGAUAGGAGCUCCUGCUGCAUGGUGGGGGUUGGAAAGUUUCGGCGGUUGGGGAUGGACUCGCGGCUUAUCAGCUUGUUGGUGGGGUAGUGGCUUACCAAGGCUUUGACGGGUAGCCGGCCUGAGAGGGUGACCGGCCACAUUGGGACUGAGAUACGGCCCAGACUCCUACGGGAGGCAGCAGUGGGGAAUAUUGCACAAUGGGCGGAAGCCUGAUGCAGCAACGCCGCGUGCGGGAUGACGGCCUUCGGGUUGUAAACCGCUUUCGCCUGUGACGAAGCGUGAGUGACGGUAAUGGGUAAAGAAGCACCGGCUAACUACGUG